GCCCGUCGCUCCUACCGAUUGGAUGACUCGGUGAAAUCACCGGAUGCUUACGAGCAGAAAGUGAUUAAAUCACGUUAUCUAGAGGAAGGAGAAGUCGUAACAAGGUAACGGUAGGUGAACCUGCCGUUGGAUCAGUUCUAGUUUUAAUAACUAACACCAACUUCUUUUAUUAAACAAAAACCAAUACAAAAUUAAAAACUAACUUCAUCAAAAACCAAGUCUCUAAGCAAUGGAUGUCUGGCUC
rnacentral:rRNA from 1 species